CAGACCCUACCCUUGCCCAUCCCUACAUACUCAUAGUUUGUCCAUAUUAGUGAAAUAUCAGUUAUCACUCAUUCACUUGUCAAAAAAGUAGAGUCUAAAACAUGUGGAAAGUUGUGAGCAUAAAUCAUAAUAAUUUCAUUAUUUGUUCACAGCAUGCUUAGAAUAUCUUUAUUAAAAAUGUCUUGAUCUAGUGAUUAAGAUUAAGAUGCUGUGAACGAUAUGUCAUAGUUUCGAAUUUUCCUUCUCCUUCUUUGUAAUGUCUUCGUGGCUCAUAUGGAUAGAAAAAAUAUCUUUUAGUUGGGUCAGGUUUAGAUGGGUCUAAGAGACAAAUUAAAAUGCAAAAGUAAAGAUCAAGAGCAGCAUUAGCCAUAUUGGUUUGUAGUAAAUGGAAAAACUAUUCGAUUUUUCCACCUAGCUCCUAUUUUUCAUGUCUUGUCCUCAAUUUUUCUUUUGAUUUUUGCCUAAUUAUUAGCCAUCUUGUUGGAACAUUUAUAGAGUAAUGGGUUUGAUACUCAUAUUGAAAUAUCCCGAAAAUUUAAACUCGCCUAAAUUAAAUAAUAAUAAUUAGUGGUUAAAAUUUUUCUUUAAUCAUAAGUUAUUAUUGAAAUUUUGUUAAUCUAUAACCACAUAAUGAUAAUUAAAUCGUUAAAGUUACAAAUAAUAUUAAAGUUUUGUUAGAUUAAACAAUAACAAUAAAUUAAUUGGUUACUAUACAAAUUAGUAGUAUUAAGAAUAAAAAGGAAAAGAAAAAAUAGAAAAGAAAAAGAAAAAGAAAAAGAAAAAGAAAAAGAAAAAAAAAAAAAGGGGGGGAAAUCAAAAGAAAACAGAAAAACUACUGUUCAUUACAUUUCAAUUCAUCCCAUUUUUCCUUCCCAAACAACCCGACAAGGGAUUUUGACCCAUGACAGAAUUUUUUCACAUAAACAAACUCAAUUGCAAUUAGAAACUUCAAUUCAAUUCAAAUCCACCUAAAAAUCUGAUUUUUAUACUCAAACCCACCCAUGAACUCUAACUCUAAAAUGGAUUAUCCUUGCUCAAUCAAACUCAUAUUCAUAGAAAAUUCAUUUCUCAACCAAAAUCACCCAAUAACCCAUUUUUGGUAAUUCAAUUCCAUCAAUUCAUUUGGGCAGAAAUUGAAACUCAACUAUGGCUAUAAAUAGCCAUGUUCAUCUCCUCAAACCAUUCACUCAAACCACUUGAGUCUUCGCCGGAAACCCACUCCAACCAUCGCCGGAAAAAGCCACCAAAAACCACCACAAAGACCCCUGUUUUUUCGCAACCUACAGUCUCUCCUCUGCUUUUAUUUCUUCCGGCCACCACCACCCACACACCACCGAAGCUCUUCCGCGCCUCCUGUGCGCCACCAUAGCACCACCUCACCACCGCACCGCCAUCUUCUCUCUCCUCUCGCAUACACUCUCUCUCUCGCUCGCCCUUCCUCUUCUUCUCUCUGUCGCGCCUCACCUUUUGUUUCUCGCCGCAGCUGCUGCUGCAUCGGACCACCGUGGUCGACCAACUCCGACGAACCACCGUCGUGCUGCCUCACGGUCGGAGUCCCACCCCACUGCUAGCCCAUCUCGAGCUCCCUCCUCUGCUCUCCUUUUGUGUCUGCUCAAGAGAUUAAACGGAAAGGAUAUUACAGCCUCCCCCGGUUUUCAAGUUAUUACGCAGGAACCGAGGUACUAAUGAAGAUGACGGGAUGGCGUAGAAGUGAGGAUGGCCAACUACUUUACAUUAUGAAAAUUAUAUUGGUUAUGUAAUCUAAAUCUAUGAUCACUAGAACACGAACUUAGUUUAACUAUAACUACGUAAUCAUCUAUGCUUAUAUAUUUAUAUUAAUAUGAUUAAGAUGCUUAUUUUAAUAA